UACGUAGGGUGCAAGCGUUGUCCGGAAUUAUUGGGCGUAAAGAGCUCGUAGGCGGUCUGUCGCGUCGGCUGUGAAAUCCCGAGGCCCAACCUCGGGCCUGCAGUCGAUACGGGCAAACUUGAGUGUUGCAGGGGAGACUGGAAUUCCUGGUGUAGCGGUGAAAUGCGCAGAUAUCAGGAGGAACACCGGUGGCGAAGGCGGGGCUCUGGGCAACAACUGACGCUGAGGAGCGAAAGCGUGGGGAGCGAACAGG
rnacentral:rRNA from 1 species